UUUUAUUGUUAGACUGACAGGGAAAACCAUACUCUUCCCUCUGUGUUUUAUCAGGCAGGGCUGGAUUUAGACACCUACUGCCAGUAGAUGGAUCACAAUGCAGAGUCUCGAUCCUGCAAUGAAGCUCCAAAACCCAGAGGAAGAAUCAUUAACUUAUAAUACAACACAUUUCUGAGUCUGCCUUGGUCUCCACAGAUAUGAAGCCCAUGGGAAUAUAUGAAAAGAGCUCUUUCAAACUGUGGCUCGCAAUUGUCUUUUCUUUCUUCAUUUCCUUAAAUCCACCAAAACACUGUGGCAGAUGCCACUAUUCCCUCUCAUUUCCAGCAGUGUAAGAGAAAGUCCAUCAUGAGUGAACAUGAGGGGAAUGGCUACUGAGUUGCCACACCAUCGAAUGAAAGCAUCGCACAGUUGGGUAUCGCAGCAUGCUAAAUAUUAAAUUAGCACCACUGAAAGACAAUUAUGCAUUGCUAGGGAUGUCUUUAAAGAGAAAAAGUAUUUUCUGAUCCUUACUUAUUCACCAGUAUAGCAAAAGUUUCUUCCAUUAGGAAAAAUUUUGUCAUUCUAUCAAACUUUACUAUGCAAUAUUCAAAUAUAAAAAGUUGUGAUAGGGUUAUCAAGAAUAUUCAGGGUAUAUUCCAAAUAAAAAAAACCCAAACAGCUGUCUUUAAAAGCACAUAAAUAUCUAAAUAUAUAGAUGCUUGUGUAAACUGAAGUCUUUCCAGUCACAGAAGUGUAGCUGAGAUGAUUAUUUUUUUAAAUCCAUUUACUUAGUAUCAGUUAUGUAUACUUUCAAUGCUGUCUUCACAGAGGAAGAUUUGGUUUUGUUUGCUUCUACAAAAUUGAAAAAUCCAUUUCUAUUUUCCUCCUGGGAAAGAUGGCUGGAGAGCAUUAAUCUUUGAGCAGAGAGAAAUUAUAGGAGAAGUAAUAAAACCAAACAAAAUAGUAAAUGCUAUAGAAUAUACAUCAAGCACUUCUUUUCACCUUUUCUCCUUAGACAUAGAGAAGGGGCAGCUAGUGAAAAUGAAAUUCAGUUGAAAGUGAAAUUAUUGAUAUGGUUAGAAAAGAUGACUAGACUUUUUUCCUAUACAGCUUCUUAUUGCAGGUUUUCUUGUCCCAUUCUCUGAAGCAAUUGGUUCUAGACACUUUUCCAUACAGGACACCAGGCUCAAGAAACCACUUGAUUUGCACGAACUUUUGCUUUUCUGUUGGUCUGCUCUAAACCAGUUAAUGCAAGGUUUGUUUCUAUGAAAUUACGCAUGCAAACUUUUCUCCUAAAUAUACCUCACUAUUUCCUCUCCUCCCCUGAGUAGACCUACAUUCUUUUAGGCAACUGCUAUGGGACAGUUAAUGUAAUACAUUAAGAUCAUUUAAAGUGUUUGGAUAAAGUCACACUUAACUAUUAUCAGAGUCUCAAUACAUUUUGUCAGCUUUCUGGCAGAACUUGAAAAAAAAUUACUAUGAGAAAGCUUUUGCUUUAUGUGGUCUGAAGAUCAAUGGCAAAUAAAAAAAAGACCCAGAAUAUGCCUGUGCUGGAGUUGUAAUUUAAUGUAUUGCUAACAUCUGCUUUCUUUGUAUGACGAGGCACACUCACACUUUUGUUUGUUCUUUAUUACCAAAAUUUUCAGUCCUUUAUAUGAACUAUGUGUUACUGUCACAUUUAAUAAAGAAAUCCUGCAUAAAA